UUAAGCGACUAAGCGUACACGGUGGAUGCCCUGGCAGUCAGAGGCGAUGAAGGGCGUGCUAAUCUGCGAUAAGCGCCGGUAAGGUGAUAUGAACCGUUAUAACCGGCGAUACCCGAAUGGGGAAACCCAGUGUGACUCGUCACACUAUCAUUAACUGAAUCCAUAGGUUAAUGAGGCGAACCGGGGGAACUGAAACAUCUAAGUACCCCGAGGAAAAGAAAUCAACCGAGAUUCCCCCAGUAGCGGCGAGCGAACGGGGAGGAGCCCAGAGCCUGAAUCAGCAUGUGUGUUAGUGGAAGCGUCUGGAAAGGCGCGCGAUACAGGGUGACAGCCCCGUACACAAAAGCGCAUGUGCUGUGAGCUCGAUGAGUAGGGCGGGACACGUGGUAUCCUGUCUGAAUAUGGGGGGACCAUCCUCCAAGGCUAAAUACUCCUGACUGACCGAUAGUGAACCAGUACCGUGAGGGAAAGGCGAAAAGAACCCCGGCGAGGGGAGUGAAAAAGAACCUGAAACCGUGUACGUACAAGCAGUGGGAGCCCCACCACCAAAGCGUUUCGCUUUGUGUGGUGCACAAAGAAGCGUAACGACAGCACUGAAUGACGGUUAACGGAGCGCAAGCGACGUUCAACAUACAAAGUCAAGCAGUGGAGCGCUUUGGGGUGGGGUGACUGCGUACCUUUUGUAUAAUGGGUCAGCGACUUAUAUUCUGUAGCAAGGUUAACCGAAUAGGGGAGCCGGAGGGAAACCGAGUCUUAACCGGGCGUUAAGUUGCAGGGUAUAGACCCGAAACCCGGUGAUCUAGCCAUGGGCAGGUUGAAGGUUGGGUAACACUAACUGGAGGACCGAACCGACUAAUGUUGAAAAAUUAGCGGAUGACCUGUGGCUGGGGGUGAAAGGCCAAUCAAACCGGGAGAUAGCUGGUUCUCCCCGAAAGCUAUUUAGGUAGCGCCUCGUGAAUUCAUCUCCGGGGGUAGAGCACUGUUUCGGCUAGGGGGCCAUCCCGGCUUACCAACCCGAUGCAAACUGCGAAUACCGGAGAAUGUUAUCACGGGAGACACACGGCGGGUGCUAACGUCCGUCGUGAAGAGGGAAACAACCCAGACCGCCAGCUAAGGUCCCAAAGUCAUGGUUAAGUGGGAAACGAUGUGGGAAGGCCCAGACAGCCAGGAUGUUGGCUUAGAAGCAGCCAUCAUUUAAAGAAAGCGUAAUAGCUCACUGGUCGAGUCGGCCUGCGCGGAAGAUGUAACGGGGCUAAACCAUGCACCGAAGCUGCGGCAGCGACGCUUAUGCGUUGUUGGGUAGGGGAGCGUUCUGUAAGCCUGUGAAGGUGGCCUGUGAGGGUUGCUGGAGGUAUCAGAAGUGCGAAUGCUGACAUAAGUAACGAUAAAGCGGGUGAAAAGCCCGCUCGCCGGAAGACCAAGGGUUCCUGUCCAACGUUAAUCGGGGCAGGGUGAGUCGACCCCUAAGGCGAGGCCGAAAGGCGUAGUCGAUGGGAAACGGGUUAAUAUUCCCGUACUUGGUGUUACUGCGAAGGGGGGACGGAGAAGGCUAUGUUGGCCGGGCGACGGUUGUCCCGGUUUAAGCGUGUAGGUGUGUGUUCCAGGUAAAUCCGGUUCACUUUAACACUGAGGCGUGAUGACGAGGCACUACGGUGCUGAAGCAACAAAUGCCCUGCUUCCAGGAAAAGCCUCUAAGCAUCAGGUAACAUCAAAUCGUACCCCAAACCGACACAGGUGGUCAGGUAGAGAAUACCAAGGCGCUUGAGAGAACUCGGGUGAAGGAACUAGGCAAAAUGGUGCCGUAACUUCGGGAGAAGGCACGCUGAUAUGUAGGUGAAGCGGUUUACCCGUGGAGCUGAAAUCAGUCGAAGAUACCAGCUGGCUGCAACUGUUUAUUAAAAACACAGCACUGUGCAAACACGAAAGUGGACGUAUACGGUGUGACGCCUGCCCGGUGCCGGAAGGUUAAUUGAUGGGGUCAGCGCAAGCGAAGCUCCUGAUCGAAGCCCCGGUAAACGGCGGCCGUAACUAUAACGGUCCUAAGGUAGCGAAAUUCCUUGUCGGGUAAGUUCCGACCUGCACGAAUGGCGUAAUGAUGGCCAGGCUGUCUCCACCCGAGACUCAGUGAAAUUGAACUCGCUGUGAAGAUGCAGUGUACCCGCGGCAAGACGGAAAGACCCCGUGAACCUUUACUAUAGCUUGACACUGAACAUUGAGCCUUGAUGUGUAGGAUAGGUGGGAGGCUUUGAAGCGUGGACGCCAGUCUGCGUGGAGCCGACCUUGAAAUACCACCCUUUAAUGUUUGAUGUUCUAACGUGGACCCGUGAUCCGGGUUGCGGACAGUGUCUGGUGGGUAGUUUGACUGGGGCGGUCUCCUCCUAAAGAGUAACGGAGGAGCACGAAGGUUGGCUAAUCCUGGUCGGACAUCAGGAGGUUAGUGCAAUGGCAUAAGCCAGCUUGACUGCGAGCGUGACGGCGCGAGCAGGUGCGAAAGCAGGUCAUAGUGAUCCGGUGGUUCUGAAUGGAAGGGCCAUCGCUCAACGGAUAAAAGGUACUCCGGGGAUAACAGGCUGAUACCGCCCAAGAGUUCAUAUCGACGGCGGUGUUUGGCACCUCGAUGUCGGCUCAUCACAUCCUGGGGCUGAAGUAGGUCCCAAGGGUAUGGCUGUUCGCCAUUUAAAGUGGUACGCGAGCUGGGUUUAGAACGUCGUGAGACAGUUCGGUCCCUAUCUGCCGUGGGCGCUGGAGAACUGAGGGGGGCUGCUCCUAGUACGAGAGGACCGGAGUGGACGCAUCACUGGUGUUCGGGUUGUCAUGCCAAUGGCACUGCCCGGUAGCUAAAUGCGGAAGAGAUAAGUGCUGAAAGCAUCUAAGCACGAAACUUGCCCCGAGAUGAGUUCUCCCUGAGACUUUAGGUCUCCUGAAGGAACGUUGAAGACGACGACGUUGAUAGGCCGGGUGUGUAAGCGCAGCGAUGCGUUGAGCUAACCGGUACUAAUGAACCGUGAGGCUUAACCUU
rnacentral:rRNA from 1 species